CAGAGGCUUGACCCACUGAGCCCCCCAGGCGCUCCCCCAACCCUACUUCUUGACCGAUCCUCAGCUCUUGGCCUCGGGGAGGGGGUGCUGCCAUUCUUCUAGAGCUCCCUCCCUCCUGUGCUCAGGGACCACAGACUAGAAGGAUUGCACUGUGCCUUGGCCAGCCCGAGUCUGGGAGCAGUAAAAUGGGAAGGGUCUGGGCUUUGGGAAACACGGAUGUCAGAAGCACCAAGAUAAAGCUUUUCCUGUCGCUGGAUGGACGUGCGAUGUCUCCAAGGAUGGGUCAGGAUGGAAGGAGGGAGCGCCACAGCCGGACCCUGGACACCUCCCCGCAGGAGAGGCUGUUCCUGGGCGAACUCAUCCUUCAGGAGAAGUCUCGGCCCCAGCGGGACGGGGUGCGUCUUUCCUACAUGCAGCUCACGGCAUGUCCUAGAUUGGUGGUAGGCUGUCCCUGUGGUUUGGCUAGAGUGCUUUCUCCUUCUAGUCCCAGAGUCCGCAGAUCGACAGACGUGUCAGAAACGCUCCUGGCACAAAGGCCCCAUCUCCGUCCUCGCAGACCUGUCAGGUGGUGAUAUUUGUCAGAAAUCCCGGUGAACGUGUGACCUGACCUGUUCUUCUGGUUCCUCUUCCCAGGAUUGUCAUCUGUCUUCUGUCAGGACAUUGACAAGGGCUUUGCUUUCCUUCAUUCUGUCUCUCAGAGUCUCGGGGCUCAGGUUACCUGGGAUUGAAUCCCAGGUAAGGUGUUUGCAGAAUUCUCGGCCAUGCGUUCCUGAUGUUGCAGGUGUGGGUAGGGUGUCUCAGCCUCUUCCUCAUUCAUUUUUAAACCCGUGCCCUUUACUGAGUCCACAGUACCCGACCCAACGGAAAACGUCUAAUUCCUUGAGACUUGCUUGCAAGAUUGUCGUUUUCUCAAGUGAUGCCACGUGACUUCGAAUUUCACUUGAAAAGAAAACUUCCAGUGGCCAGCUUUCUCCUGGGUUCUAGAGUUUGCCCAAAACACCCCGUGUCUCCCUUCCCAGGUCACCGGGCUCCAAGGCUCUCAAAGGCUUGGUUAGAGCCCACUGUGCCCAGCCUGCACCUUGUAAUAGCGCCUCCGGACGACUCACAUCCCGGUGACCCCCUGAGAGCAACGCAGCGGGGCCAACAUGACAGUUCCCUCUGUCAGUGUUUCGGGUUGUGCCCUGACCGUGACUGGUUUUGUACACAUAACGGACACGCACGGAUCUUACCCACCAGGUAGAGCCAGGCGCAUAAGAAAUUAAUGCCUUCAAUUCUCUGUAUCUCGCCAUUCCCUUUUAAGAUGAAAGUUCCAUUCAUAUAACCAACGCCCAGACUCCACUCCCACGUUGAAACGCCUGAUGAACCGCGCUGCCUCCCUGAGCCCCACGUGGCCGGACAGCAGGGACCCCAUGGUGGGGCUGUCACUGUCCUGCCCGCUGAGGCUCAGGCGGGCGUGCUUUCCUCAGAAAACCCUGGAGAUGCCGGCAGAGAGAGCGUGAGGGCCUCGGGCCUCUGUGGAUCCUUGUGAGUCUUGAACGCUCUUCGUGAACCCCUGGCCACGGAGCCCACGGAGCCCAUGGAGCCGCCACAGAGGGCCCUGGACGGUCGAAUGGCCCUGGUCACUCCUGCCCCUCGCAGGAGCCCUGUCCGAGCCGCAGGGCGUGUUUGUGCGCAUUCCAGACCCAGGAGGCCUGGUCGCGCUCCGCUCGCUCCUUCCUGCGUUUUCGGGUUCCAGUCGAAGGAGUUCCUUGUGUCUCGAGGUCGGCCCACCUGUACCCACACAGCCCUAAAAGUUUCCAGGUGGUGAAGUUGGAGUUCACCCACUGAUU